UUCGAUCAUGGCUCAGAUUGAACGCUGGCGGGAUAUACUUUACGCAUGCAAGUCGAACGGCACGGACUUCGGUCUGGUGGCGAGUGGCGAACGGGUGAUAAUGUAUCGGAACGUGCCUAGUAGCGGGGAUAACUGCAGCCUUCAUCUACAUACGCCCUUCGGGGAAAGCAGGGGACAGCGGGCCUCGCACUAUUAAAGCGGCCGAUAUCGGGUUGGCUAGUUGGUGGGGUAACGGCUCACCAAGGCGACGAUCCGUAGCUGGUUUGAGGACGACCAGCCACGCUGGGACUGGGGCCGGUAGACUCUGGAGGCGGCAGUGGGGAAUUUUUGGACAAUGGGGAAACCCUGGUCCAGCCAUCCCGCGCGUGCGAUGAAGGCCUUCGGGUUGUAAAGCACUUUUGGCGGGAAAAGCGGCACAGGAUAAUGCCCCGUGCAACUGACGGUACCUGCAGAGCCAGCACCGGCUAACUACGUGCCCAGCAGCCGCGUCAGCCACGUAGGAGUGCAAGCGACAAUCGGAAUUACUGGGCGUAAAGCGUGCGCGAGCGGUUCGGAAGAAAGAUGUGAAAUCCCAGAGCGCUUUUUGGAACUGCAUUUAACUACUGAGCUGGGUAUGUCAGGGAGUGGAAUUCCGCGUGUAGCAAGUGAAGUAAACAGAUAUGCGGAGAGACACCGAUGGCGAGGCAGCCUCCUGGGAUAACACUGACGCUCAUGCACGAAAGCGUGGGGAGCAAACGGGAUUAGAUACCCUGGUAGUCCACGCCUAAACGAUGUCAACUGGCUGUUGGGGCCUUCGGGCCUUGGUAGCUGCUAACGCGUGAAGUUGACCGCCUGGGGAAGUACGGUCGCAAGAUUAAAACUCAAGGAAUUGACGGGACCGCACAAGCGGUGGAUGAUGUGGAUUAAUUCGAUGCAACGCAAAAGGCCUGCCUACCCUUGACAUGUCUGGAAUCCCGAAGAGAUUUGGGAGUGCUGAAGGCAGACACAGGUGCUGCAUGGCUGUCGUCAGCUCGUGUCGUGAGAUGUUGGGUUAAGUCCCGCAACAGGCGCAACCCUUGUCAUUAGUUGCUACGAAAGGGCACUCUAAUGAGACUGCCGGUGACAAACCGGAGGAAGGUGGGGAUGACGUCAAGUCCUCGCUGGCCCUUAUGGGUGGGGCUUCACGUCAUACAAUGGUCGGGACAGAGGGUCGCCAACCCACGAGGGAAUAAUCCCAGAAACCCGAUCGUAGUCCGGAUCGCAGUCUGCCUUCGACUGCGUGAAAUUCAGAAUCGCUAAUGAUGCGCAGAUCAGCAUGUCGCGGUGAAUACGUUCCCGGGUCUUGUACGCACCGCCCGUCACACGUGGUCGGUUUCACCGAAGUAGUUAGCCUAACCCGUAAGGAGAGCGUUACCACGGUAGGAUUCAUGACUGGGGUGAAGUCGUAACAAGGUAG
rnacentral:rRNA from 1 species